GGGAAGAAGGUCCUGAGGGAGAAGAGCAAUUAAGAAUACUACGAUGGCAACAGAAGCUGACUUGGGAGCUUGAUGGGACACCACCUCGAAGAAGAAACUAUAGUCUGAAAUUGUCCGCCUGAUCCUUAGAAACUUCCUGAGGGAGAUGUUCCAACUGUUAUCUCCCUGCCCAGGAAGCAGCCAUGAUGGCUCCUGCACAGGAUCCUCACACUGAUGCCAACUCAAGUUCCCCCCCUCAUCAGAUGGAGCUCAGCCAAGCACACAGCAUUGCAGCAGAAGCAGGGACUGUUCUACUGAGAGAGCUUGUGUAACACAGGGAAUGAGAAUGUAAGCCUUGCUCUGAUUCUAGGCUUCCUGUGUUCCAGACAUUAUCUAUUGUGCAGAAGGGGUUGCCUACAUUUUGGGACAGAUAAAACAGUACAUCCCAGGCCUUUUUGAGCUGAUUAAAUAUGUUA